GAUGAAGAACGCAGCGAAAUGCGAUAAGUAAUGUGAAUUGCAGAAUUCAGUGAAUCAUCGAAUCUUUGAACGCACAUUGCGCCCGCCAGUAUUCUGGCGGGCAUGCCUGUCUGAGCGUCAUUUCAACCCUCAUGCCCCUAGGGCGUGGUGUUGGGGAUCGGCCAAAGCCCGCGAGGGACGGCCGGCCCCUAAAUCUAGUGGCGGACCCGUCGUGGCCUCCUCUGCGAAGUAGUGAUAUUCCGCAUCGGAGAGCGAUGAGCCCCUGCCGUUAAACCCCCAACUUUCCAAGGUUGACCUCAGAUCAGGCAGGAAUACCCGCUGAACUUAAGCAUAUCAAUAAGCGGAGGA
rnacentral:misc_RNA from 1 species